rfam:Pseudomonas batumici strain TCM B-321 Contig_1, whole genome shotgun sequence.
GGCACACAUAGUGCUCAGGUAAUACCCGGUAGCCAACGGCGGCUGCCCCACCCCGACAAAGACGUCGC